UAAACCGAGUGAGCCCAGCAUC
rnacentral:misc_RNA from 1 species